rnacentral:pre_miRNA from 11 species
UUUUUCCAUUAUAUAAAAUUGAAAGACCCCCAGAGUGGGGAGACCCUCACUCAAGUCUCAGGAUAAGCCGAUGCCCCAAUAAUUCAAGAGAGACC